UAGGGAAUCUUCCGCAAUGGACGCAAGUCUGACGGAGCAACGCCGCGUGAGUGAAGAAGGAUUUCGGUUCGUAAAACUCUGUUGUUAGAGAAGAACAGCGCAUAGAGUAACUGUUAUGCGUGUGACGGUAUCUAACCAGAAAGCCACGGCUAACUACGUGCCAGCAGCCGCGGUAAUACGUAGGUGGCAAGCGUUGUCCGGAUUUAUUGGGCGUAAAGCGAGCGCAGGCGGUCAAUUAAGUCUGAUGUGAAAGCCCCCGGCUCAACCGGGGAGGGUCAUUGGAAACUGGUUGACUUGAGUGCAGAAAAGGCGAGUGGAAUUCCAUGUGUAACGGUGAAAUGCGUAAAUAUAUGGAGGAAAACAAGUGGCGAAGGCGACUCUCUGGUCUGUAACUGAAGCUGAGGCUCGAAAGCGUGGGUAGCAAACAGG
rnacentral:rRNA from 1 species